CUGCUGCCUCCCGUAGGAGUCUGGGCCGUGUCUCAGUACCAGUGUGGGGGACCUUCCUCUCAGAACCCCUAGACAUCGUCGCCUUGGUGGGCCGUUACCCCGCCAACAAGCUAAUGUCACGCAUGCCCAUCCGUCUCCGGAGUCGCCUCCUUUGGCCGAAAGAAGAUGCCUCCCCUCGGCCACAUGCGGUAUUAGGCCGGAUUUCUCCGGGUUAUCCCGCUGAAACGGGCAGGUUGCAUACGCGUUACUCACCCGUGCGCCGGUCGCCGG
rnacentral:rRNA from 1 species